CCUACGAAGAUUUAUAGUACAGGUGUUUUCGAUUACUCAUAACUUUUUCACUUGCAAUAUUAUUUAACUACAUUUGUUCGUGGUAUUUUUCCAGCAUUCGACCAGAUAAACCAGGUCGCACGGUGUCUACUCCGAGCGUUGUCCAAGCUUAUCAAAAUAUCGAUGGACAAGAAUCACGGAUCGAUGUGGCAUGUCGUCGUCGGAGAGAAUUUCAGUGUAGAGUUGGAAUAUGAACCUGGUACGUUGAUGUCCUUGUGCUACGGCGGAACACUCGCGAUUUGUAUUUGGCGAACUUGA
rnacentral:misc_RNA from 1 species